GAAUGAAUGAAUUUUGCAAAUUAUUUAUUUUAUACUUUAAUAUAUUUGAACAUUCAAAGAGUUGACACAAAAUGAAGAAUUUAUUCAUUUUUAUAAUUACAUUACUGAAAAAUCUCAUAGAAAAAUAGAAUAUUACUGUCCAAAAUAAAAUGCUGGAGAUAAUUCUAAGAACAUUCAAAAUGUACAAACUUCCUUCCUUCCUUCUAAACUAUCCCAGCGUCUGGCAUAUAUCAAUAGAAUUCAAAGAAAUGUUUAUUAUUGCACAAGACAGAUAAAUAUAAACUUUCCCCUUUAGGUUAGCAAAUGUUUCCCUAGCCCUAGAUUUUCUCUACUGUUGGAAAAUAUUGAUAAUAAUUUUAAGUUUCCUAAUUUAAUUAAUUAAUGAAAUGAGUGACGCUGAAGAUUUAUUCAAUAAUAUAUACGAUAAAGCCAUUUUAAACAAAGAAGCAAAAUUAAACAAUAAUUUAAAAAAUAUAAAAAAAACUUAUAUCGAAAGGAAUCAUAGAUCUAUAUUUAACCUAUAUUGGGUAGAAGAGAAAAUAUAUAAAACACAAAUAUAAUUGCCUAAUUUUUUAUAUAUUAUUUACAAGAUUAUUUUUUAAUAAUAUUUAUAUAAAACUUUUUAUAGAUUUUUACCUUUAUUUGUAUAAACAUUAUAUUUUUUUAAUCCAUAUUAUAUAGUUAAAUAAAUUUAUUUUAAAAAUCUGAAUAGAAUUAAAUAAAAAAUACUUCAUUUAUUAAAAUUUUAUUUAAAUGUAAGAUAUUAAACUUGGGCUUUGUAGAUAAAAAACAAAAGAUAAGUUAAUUUCAAAGUCUUUGUGUUCUUUUUACUUAUUAUUACAUUUUGAUAACUUAAUCUAAAUAUCUAUUA